rnacentral:rRNA from 1 species
AGGAAAGUAGGGGAUCGCAAGACCUUGCGCUUUUGGAGCGGCCGAUGUCUGAUUAGCUAGUUGGUGAGGUAAAGGCUUACCAAGGCUUCGAUCAGUAGCUGGUCUGAGAGGACGACCAGCCACACUGGGACUGAGACACGGCCCAGACUCCUACGGGAGGCAGCAGUGGGGAAUUUUGGACAAUGGGGGCAACCCUGAUCCAGCCAUGCCGCGUGAGUGAAGAAGGCCUUCGGGUUGUAAAGCUCUUUCAGCCGGAACGAAAAGGUUACGGUUAAUACCCGUGACUAAUGACGGUACCGGAAGAAGAAGCACCGGCUAACUACGUGCCAGCAGCCGCGGUAAUACGUAGGGUGCGAGCGUUAAUCGGAAUUACUGGGCGUAAAGCGUGCGCAGGCGGUUUUGUAAGUCAGAUGUGAAAUNCCCCGGGCUUAANACUGGGAACUGCGUUUGAAACUANCAAGGCU